rnacentral:rRNA from 1 species
UUCCUGCUCAACGCUAAUCGGAGCAGGGUGAGUCGGCCCCUAAGGCGAGGCAGAAAUGCGUAGUCGAUGGGAAACAGGUUAAUAUUCCUGUACCUCUUGUUACUGCGAUGGGAUGACGGAGAAGGUUAGAUCAGCACGAGAUUGGUUGUUCGUGUUUAAGCGUGUAGGCUGAGUUCCUAGGAAAAUCCGGGGAUUCAUUAAGGCUGAGGCGUGAUGACGAGCCCCUUUUGGGGUGAAGUGAUUGAUACCCUGCUUCCAGGAAAAGUCUCUAAGCUUCAGGUAACAAGUGACCGUACCCCAAACCGACACAGGUGGAUAGGAUGAGAAUUCCAAGGCGCUUGAGAGAACUCUGGUGAAGGAACUAGGCAAAAUAGCACCGUAACUUCGGGAGAAGGUGUGCCUUACUGGUGAUGUGAUUUACUCACUAAGCUAAGUAAGGUUGCAGUGAAAUGGUGGCUGCGACUGUUUAUUAAAAACACAGCACUCUGCAAACUCGCAAGAGGACGUAUAGGGUGUGACGCCUGCCCGGUGCCGGAAGGUUAAUUGAUGGGGUUAUCUUCGGAGAAGCUCUUGAUCGAAGCCCCGGUAAACGGCGGCCGUAACUAUAACGGUCCUAAGGUAGCGAAAUUCCUUGUCGGGUAAGUUCCGACCUGCACGAAUGGCGUAACGAUGGCCACACUGUCUCCACCCGAGACUCAGUGAAAUUGAAAUUGCGGUUAAGAUGCCGUAUACCCGCGGCUAGACGGAAAGACCCCGUGAACCUUUACUAUAGCUUUGCACUGAACUUUGAACUUACCUGUGUAGGAUAGCUGGGAGGCGUUGAAACAUUGUCGCUAGAUGAUGUGGAGCCGCACUUGAAAUACCAGCCUGGUACGUUUGGAGUUCUAACCUAGGUCCGUAAGCCGGAUCGGGGACAGUGUAUGGUGGGUAGUUUGACUGGGGCGGUCUCCUCCCAAAGAGUAACGGAGGAGCGCGAAGGUACCCUAAUCCUGGUCGGAAAUCAGGAGGUUAGUGCAAUAGCAUAAGGGUGCUUGACUGCGAGACAGACACGUCGAGCAGGUACGAAAGUAGGUUAUAGUGAUCCGGUGGUUCUGUAUGGAAGGGCCAUCGCUCAACGGAUAAAAGGUACUCUGGGGAUAACAGGCUGAUUCCUCCCAAGAGUUCAUAUCGACGGGGGAGUUUGGCACCUCGAUGUCGGCUCAUCACAUCCUGGGGCUGUAGUCGGUCCCAAGGGUAUGGCUGUUCGCCAUUUAAAGUGGUACGUGAGCUGGGUUUAAAACGUCGUGAGACAGUUUGGUCCCUAUCUGCCGUGGGCGUUGGAAGUUUGAAGGGGGCUGUUCCUAGUACGAGAGGACCGGAAUGGACAGAUCUCUGGUGGACCGGUUGUUACGCCAGUAGCAUAGCCGGGUAGCUAAAUCUGGAAGAGAUAAACGCUGAAAGCAUCUAAGCGUGAAACUUGCCCUAAGAUGAGACUUCCCUUGCACUUUAAGUGCACUAAAGAGUCGUUCAAGACCAGGACGUUGAUAGGUCAGGUGUGGAAGUGCAGUAAUGCAUGAAGCUAACUGAUACUAAUUGCUCGUGAGGCUUGAUCCU